GCAAAGCUGCUUGGAGAGAGAGGCUCUGUAGAUGGAGCUUCCCCUAGGUGGUGUGAAGUGCUCCAGAGAUGUGGCCCCUGUGAGUCAUCACCUGUGCCAAGGGGAACUUUCUGCAGAUGCAGCUGCCUUUGAGCUGAAGCAGCUAUGGGAGGUCAUCAUCCAGGAGAAGAUGAGACUUCUAGUAUGGCUGAGUUUUAAUCCCUCAUUCUGCUCUGCUGCCGCGACCCGAAGAAGGGGCUAGACCCUGGCCCGCUGGUGAUCGCCACGGAAAUACCUGCCCGUGAGACAGAUCCGCUUGAACAGUGAGAUACCUCAAUUUUACCAGAGAUAACCACAGAGAGACUGGGAUGUCUAAUCUUGAUUGUCAGCUUUGUUGGAUUGAGAGGAAUCUAC